AUACGGAGGGUGCAAGCGUUACUCGGAAUCACUGGGCGUAAAGCGCGCGCAGGCGGUCUUUUAAGUUGGAUGUGAAAGCCUACGGCUCAACCGUAGAACUGCAUCCAAAACUAUUAGACUAGAGUGUGGGAGAGGAAGAUGGAAUUAGUUGUGUAGGGGUAAAAUCCGUAGAGAUAACUAGGAAUACCAAAAGCGGAGGCAAUCUUCUGGAACACUACUGACGCUGAGGCGCGAAAGCGUGGGGAGCAAACAGGAUUAGAUACCCCAGUAGUCC
rnacentral:rRNA from 1 species